rnacentral:rRNA from 1 species
UACGUAGGGUGCAAGCGUUAAUCGGAAUUACUGGGCGUAAAGCGUGCGCAGGCGGCUUUGCAAGACAGAUGUGAAAUCCCCGGGCUCAACUGGGGAGGGUCACGCGAUACUGAUCGACUCGAAGGCAGGAGAGGGAAGUGGAAUUCCCGGUGUAGUGGUGAAAUGCGUAGAUAUCGGGAGGAACACCUGUGGCGAAGGCGACUUCCUGGCCUGUUCUUGACGCUGAGGCGCGAAAGCUAGGGGAGCAAACGGG